AGGCCUAUGGUGUAAUGGUAGCACUAGAGUCUCCAAAACUCUCAGUCUGGGUUCAAAUCCUAGUAGGCCUG
rnacentral:tRNA from 1 species